rnacentral:rRNA from 1 species
GAUGAACGCUGGCGGCGUGCCUAAUACAUGCAAGUCGAGCGAACGGACGAGAAGCUUGCUUCUCUGACGUUAGCGGCGGACGGGUGAGUAACACGUGGAUAACCUACCUAUAAGACUGGGAUAACUUCGGGAAACCGGAGCUAAUACCGGAUAAUAUUUUGAACCGCAUGGUUCAAUAGUGAAAGACGGUUUUGCUGUCACUUAUAGAUGGAUCCGCGCUGCAUUAGCUAGUUGGUAAGGUAACGGCUUACCAAGGCAACGAUGCGUAGCCGACCUGAGAGGGUGAUCGGCCACACUGGAACUGAGACACGGUCCAGACUCCUACGGGAGGCAGCAGUAGGGAAUCUUCCGCAAUGGGCGAAAGCCUGACGGAGCAACGCCGCGUGAGUGAUGAAGGUCUUCGGAUCGUAAAACUCUGUUAUUAGGGAAGAACAUAUGUGUAAGUAACUGUGCACGUCUUGACGGUACCUAAUCAGAAAGCCACGGCUAACUACGUG